rnacentral:rRNA from 1 species
AUUGAACGCUGGCGGCAUGCUUUACACAUGCAAGUCGAACGGUAACAGGCCGCAAGGUGCUGACGAGUGGCGAACGGGUGAGUAAUGCAUCGGAACGUGCCCAGUCGUGGGGGAUAACGCAGCGAAAGCUGUACUAAUACCGCAUACGAUCUAUGGAUGAAAGCGGGGGACCGUAAGGCCUCGCGCGAUUGGAGCGGCCGAUGUCAGAUUAGGUAGUUGGUGGGGUAAAGGCUCACCAAGCCAACGAUCUGUAGCUGGUCUGAGAGGACGACCAGCCACACUGGGACUGAGACACGGCCCAGACUCCUACGGGAGGCAGCAGUGGGGAAUUUUGGACAAUGGGCGAAAGCCUGAUCCAGCCAUGCCGCGUGCAGGAUGAAGGCCUUCGGGUUGUAAACUGCUUUUGUACGGAACGAAAAGGUUUGGCCUAAUAAGCUGAGCUCAUGACGGUACCGUAAGAAUAAGCACCGGCUAACUACGUGCCAGCAGCCGCAGUAA